rnacentral:rRNA from 1 species
GAGUUUGAUCGUGGCUCAGAUUGAACGCUGGCGGAAUGCUUUACACAUGCAAGUCGAGCGGCAGCGCGGGGCAACCUGGCGGCGAGCGGCGAACGGGUGAGUAAUGCAUCGGAACAUGUCCAUGUCGUGGGGGAUAGCCCGGCGAAAGCCGGAUUAAUACCGCAUACGCCCGAGAGGGGAAAGCCGGGGACCGCAAGGCCUGGCGCGAUUGGGUUGGCCGAUGUCCGAUUAGCUAGUUGGCGGGGUAAGAGCCCACCAAGGCGAUGAUCGGUAGCUGGUCUGAGAGGAUGAUCAGCCACACUGGGACUGAGACACGGCCCAGACUCCUACGGGAGGCAGCAGUGGGGAAUUUUGGACAAUGGGGGCAACCCUGAUCCAGCCAUGCCGCGUGUGUGAAGAAGGCCUUCGG